GUGUGGCCAGGAAUAAAUGCAGUAGGUGUGGGCAGUUUGGGCAUAAUUCAAGAAGCUGCAGGAAUCCAGUGGUCUCCCCAGAUUCCCAUGUCCCUGAAAGUAGCAAUCAGGCUGCUGCUAGACCUAGAAGACAAUCUGCUGACAGGGUCAAUGCUAACAGUGAAAAUACUGUUGUUGAGGGAGAUGCAAGUGGUAGUCAAGUGCUUGAUCCUACUCAGAUAAAUUCCAAUGUGAGAAAGAAUAAAAGGGGAGCUUCUAAGAAAAAUACCCCUGCCCCUGCUGAAGAACAAUCUCAGAUUGCAAGUAUCACACAGGAUCAAGGUACUGAUGCUGCUAAAGCUUCUAGACAAGUCAAGAGGACUAAAAGAGCUAGAUGACCUUCAAAGAACAAAACCUCAACCCCUGCUCAAGACCAAACUCAAAGGCUUAGUGUCACAGAACAAGCUUCUGAGCCAGCCUGGGUGGAGGGCCUUGCUGCAAACAAUCUUGGAAGUCAAGUCCAUGUUGAACGUGUCACACAAGCUGCUGCUGAAGGUUCUGGUCAG